rnacentral:lncRNA from 1 species
GAUUGAUUUUUAAAACAGUAAUAAUAACAACUGAUUUGAAUUAAAAGGGAAUUAAAACAAAAUCAGUAAGGGGAAUUAAAAACACAAGCAUCCUAAAAAAUAGAAAUGCAAAAGAUGGGGGUGGUAAUCAGAGUUAAAGCCUUUUAAGGCCCUUGUUUUGUUAGGAAGGAGGGAAGGGACACUGAUUAACUUUGUUAGGUCAGGGUGUGUGGUUUGCAGGUUAGGGUAGCUUUUUAAAGGGGAGACAUAAAUGUAUGACAGGAAAACCAAGGACUCCUCAUCACUUGUGCCGGAGAAAAGGGGGGAAGAAGAAGAGUUCUUACUGUAGUCUACAUUUCAGUGUGGAGGACAAGUAAUACAUUUUAGAAAUAAAUACUUUCCUCUUUUAGUCAUAAGUAAAUGAGAAAGACAAGGAGGAGAUGGACAUGAUUCCUUGCUGGAGAUUUGCUCACCUGGCCUUUGUUUGGUGUCGCUCAGCUACUGGAACGAGUCGAGGAACAGGUGCUAUUCUGAGUACUUCACAGGGAUUACAGAAUUGAAGUCCCAAGAGAACUCAGGUGAGGGAACAGUGGCUCAGAAAGGUCGAGCUAGUUGCCCAGGCUCACAGAGCUGGUAUGUGACAGCGCUGGGACCUGAAGCCAAGCCACCUGCCAGCAGGGUCCAUGCUCUUCACCACUGCCUGACACCAUCACUCCCCCGUGAGACAAAGUUGGUCCCCAUGGCCCACAAGGAUGUAGAGGACAUAUAGUUGUCACUGCUGGUAGCAGGCAUUGCCUUGGUACCCCUCGAUCCCCUGAGUGCUCUGCAAUGGCGAUGUUUAGGCACUGUGUUCAGUGAAUGACUGAAUGAAUGAAAUAAAGAAUGAAUGCACACAUGCAAAUGACAGGCCCCAAUCAAGCUCCAGAAUCUGAAAAGAAAUCCUCACAUGCUUUUUGCUAGAUGUGAGUAUGACCAAGAUGAGACUCCUGGAACCUUCCUCCUAACCUGAGAGUGGGUAGUUUGUCUUCCUCACUUCCUCUAGGAAAUGUCUUUGAUUGCUGGGAAACCUGCCCUGUCUUCCAGCAUCCUGAGAGAACGGAGGGUGGCUUAGAGUUUCAUGGCUCUGUCCCCUCCAUGGGGGUUCACCAGCUGUGAUAGAAUUUUGCCUUGGUGGUCUCCAAUGGACGAUGUCUCCUAGAAUUCACACUUUGAUGGGUUCCUCCCUCAUUACCUCUGGCGUUGGCUUUCUUUGGCUGUUGGGUUCUUAGCAAGUGCGAUGCAAGCAAAGGCUUCAUAUGUGUUUGCACAUCAGGCUUGUCUUCUCAGGAUGAUCUCUCUUGGAGGCAGCUGCCGCACUAUAAGGAAGUCCAGGCUAAAUCACUGAAUAAUACGAAGCCAUGGGAGAGAGGCUCUGCUGGGGAAGAGGCCAUUUGGACAUUCCAACCCCAGCCAAGCUCCCAGUUGAUUGCAGCUGCUGAGUGAGCCCAGCCAACCUCCCAGCUGACCCAGUCAACCCACAGAUUUGGGAGAAAAAAUAUAUUGUCAUUGUUUUAAGCCACUAAGGUGUGCGUGGUUUGUUUUGCAGCCAUAGGUAAUUGAAGUACUG